UACUCGCGGUCCAAGUCGCAGCCAUUUUUAUUGGGUCUAAAACAUCCGUAGCUUGCUAAGCAAGUCUUCUGUGAAAUCUUAACUCUUAAGGUUGAGGCGAGCAGAAGAUACUAUUUAGCUAGAGACUGGAAGGCGUAAGAAGUAUGUUUAAAGUAGCAGUAAAAUGUUUUAAUCUUAAGCAGACUAACAAUAGCGAAGGCAUCUUACGAGGACAGUUCUGACAGUAAGGGAUGAAGGCCAGGGGCGCAAAACGGAUUAGAUACCCGUGUAGUCCUGGCAGUAAACACUGCACACUAAACAUUAGUACCUCCUCGAGAGGUAUUGGUGCUGAAGCGAAGGCGAAGAGUGUGCUACCUGGGAAGUAUAGUCGCAAGGCCGAAACUUAGAGGAAUUGGCGGGGAGACACUACAACGGGUGACGCGUGCGGUUCAAUUAGAUUAUACACCGUGAACCUCACCAGGAGCGACAGCAGGAUGAAGGUCAGUCUAAAGGGCUUACCUGACACGCUGAGAGGAGUCGCAAGUCCGACGUCAGCCUGUGCCAUGAGGUGACCUGUUAAAUCAGGUAACAGGCAAGACCCACAUGUAUAUUUACCAUGAGUACAAUAUACAGAUUGCCCGGGUAACUGGGAUGAGUGUGUGGGCUACGUCAGGUUAUUUCAGCCCGAAUCCCCUGGGCAACACGCGCGCGUCAAAGGUGAAUACAACGAGAUGCAACUCCGAAAGGAGGAGCCAAUCCCUUAAAGUUCAUCUUAGUCUAGAUCGAGGUUUGCAACUCAGCCUCGUGACACUGGAAUCCGUAGUAAUCGUUUGUUAGCAGCGAACGGUGAAUACGUCACUGUCUCU
rnacentral:rRNA from 1 species